rnacentral:lncRNA from 1 species
UCAAUUAUGUCUAACGCUUGGCUGUAUGUUCUAUUUCAAGGACUUUAAUCAAAGCAGUACUAAACAACCAAUCCUUAAAGGAAACACAGCUGUUGCCCUGUGCGCCCAAGCCAUACUCAUUUUCACAUAGUCACGUCUUGGUGCUUGAGACAGUUGCAAGUUUUCUGAUACUGGGAGAGGCUGCUGAAGUGAACUCUGCCAUAUUAAUGUGCCGACUAUACGGAUUUAUGCCUGAGCUGAUGUAAUGGAGGGAUUCAGACAGGCGAGUACUGAUCUGUACCUUGUUGGGCCUGUCGCUGCUGGUCUGAGUGCUCUUUGCGGAGUCGCUGAUGGCAAAUAAGCCACAUUGGUGCAUGAUGAAGAAUCGUGAUGCUGGAAGGUGGUAGGGCUUCCCACCGGGCAGCGAGUGUUGAGGCUGGCUGGAGGUGGACAGCAUUGUGUCUGGCAGUAAUGAGAGUUCAUUGCAUGUUUGCUGCUGGCCAAAGCAUUCUUUCUCCACAACAAACAGCCUACUUCCAUCUUUACAGCUGCGAGAACAAGUGAGCUUCUGGGCUUUUGUCAAAUAUGUAUGUGCCUAGUGUGACUGAAACAACCCAC